UUUGAGUGAGUGGCGAACUGGUGAGUAACACGUGGGAAACCUGCCCAGAAGCGGGGGAUAACACCUGGAAACAGAUGCUAAUACCGCAUAACAACUUGGACCGCAUGGUCCGAGUUUGAAAGAUGGCUUCGGCUAUCGCUUUUGGAUGGUCCCGCGGCGUAUUAGCUAGAUGGUGGGGUAACGGCUCACCAUGGCAAUGAUACGUAGCCGACCUGAGAGGGUAAUCGGCCACAUUGGGACUGAGACACGGCCCAAACUCCUACGGGAGGCAGCAGUAGGGAAUCUUCCACAAUGGACGAAAGUCUGAUGGAGCAACGCCGCGUGAGUGAAGAAGGGUUUCGGCUCGUAAAACUCUGUUGUUAAAGAAGAACAUAUCUGAGAGUAACUGUUCAGGUAUUGACGGUAUUUAACCAGAAAGCCACGGCUAACUACGUGCCAGCAGCCGCGGUAAUACGUAGGUGGCAAGCGUUGUCCGGAUUUAUUGGGCGUAAAGCGAGCGCAGGCGGUUUUUUAAGUCUGAU
rnacentral:rRNA from 2 species